CAGAAGGAGGUGCUUCUGACUGCCCUCCUUCCACUUGAGAGUCAACACACCCCUUUUCGGCCAGAGACCUGGACGCUUCCUUCUCUCUGUCAGAGCAAUCUAGGAUCACUUCCACCUUGGACUUAAGUUGUCAUUUACUCCACUGGAAGACCUGCAGGCACACAAACACACAAAAAGCAAAUUCUAGCAAAUUUACUGCUUUAGCAGGGGACAAGGUGCUCCAGUGUUCCAGGAUGGAGAAAGGACAUGAGCAGACUUCCUUAUCGUGUGUGCUGGGGCCUGCAGAAAAACUAUUGUCUGAACUGGCCCAAAAGACCCAGUGCUGAAAAAUGGAAUAAAAAUGGAAGAAAGGAACGUCCUCAGGUUUGUGUUCAACACGAGGAAAUAAUGAUCAAUAGUCUGGAACCCAGGGGGUUUUCGUGGAGCAAAGAAUUCAAAAACUGUGACAACCACUGAAAAGGCCCAGCUACUUCCCCAGCCAUGUUAACAGAUCAAGCAUAUGCAGGUCUUCCUUGGCUGAUCUCAAGAGGAAGAUGAGUUCUUACAGUACAUCUGAUUGUCAGACCCUGACAUAGCAUCAUAAAACAAUUUCCUAGGA